rnacentral:rRNA from 1 species
AGGAGAGUUUGAUCCUGGCUCAGAUUGAACGCUGGCGGCGUGCUUAACACAUGCAAGUCGUACGUGAAAGCGCCUUCGGGCGCGAGUAAAGUGGCGCACGGGUGAGUAACGCGUGGAUAAUCUGCCUGGUAGUGGGGAAUAACGGCUGGAAACGGCCGCUAAUACCGCAUGAGCUUCAUAUUUAGCUUUAUGAAGGAAAGAGGGCCUCUACAUAUGCUCUUGCUACCGGAUGAGUCCGCGUCCCAUUAGCUAGUUGGCGGGGUAACGGCCCACCAAGGCGACGAUGGGUAGCUGUUCUGAGAGGAUGAUCAGCCACAUUGGAACUGGAACACGGUCCAAACUCCUACGGGAGGCAGCAGUGGGGAAUAUUGCGCAAUGGGCGAAAGCCUGACGCAGCGACGCCGCGUGAGGGAUGAAGGUCUUCGGAUCGUAAACCUCUGUCAGAAGGGAAGAAGUUAUGCCGCGCUAAUCAGCGGCGUAUUGACGGUACCUUCAAAGGAAGCACCGGCUAACUCCGUGCCAGCAGCCGCGGUAAUACGGAGGGUGCGAGCGUUAAUCGGAAUUACUGGGCGUAAAGCGCAUGUAGGCCGUGUGGCAAGUUAGGGGUGAAAUCCCAGGGCUCAACCUUGGAACUGCCUCUAAAACUACCAUGCUUGAGUGCGAGAGAGGAUAGCGGAAUUCCAGGUGUAGGAGUGAAAUCCGUAGAUAUCUGGAAGAACAUCAGUGGCGAAGGCGGCUAUCUGGCUCGUAACUGACGCUGAGAUGCGAAAGCGUGGGUAGCAAACAGGAUUAGAUACCCUGGUAGUCCCU